UACGUAGGUGACAAGCGUUGUCCGGAUUUACUGGGCGUAAAGAGCGCGCAGGCGGUCGUUCAAGUCGAGUGUGAAAGCCCCCCGGCUCAACUGGGGAGGGUCAUUCGAUACUGAUCGACUCGAAGGCAGGAGAGGGUAGUGGAAUUCCCGGUGUAGUGGUGAAAUGCGUAGAUAUCGGGAGGAACACCAGUGGCGAAGGCGACUACCUGGCCUGUUCUUGACGCUGAGGCGCGAAAAG
rnacentral:rRNA from 1 species